rnacentral:tRNA from 1 species
GGUGUUGUAGCUCAGUGGCAGAGUGCUUGCCUAGCAAGUGUUAGGUACUGGGUUCGAUUCUCAGCACCA